CGCAGCCGGGACCCCGCACCUUUCCGCGAGCCGCCCACCCUCGGCUCCGGAGUCGCGUCUAUACUGAGGAGCGGGGGCGGGGCUGCGAACUGCAGUUGCUAUUAAGAGUUUUGGCCAAUCCGCUGCCGGCUCCACUUCUCCUGGCCAAUAGGAAGUAGCCUAGGGCGCAGAGGCGGAAAGUGCGGCCACACGAACAGGCUUGGCAGCCAAUCGGCCGCUGGCCUCGGUUCGGCGCUCCAACCCGCGCGGAGAGCGGGCCUGGGGGAGGCCGGGGCGGCUGUCAGGCUAAAGUCCGGCUGGCGGGCGCGGCGGGACGGCGGCGGGACGGGCCCUGGAGAUGAGCCGUGGUGCCGCGGGCUGGUGCUGUCUUGUGCUCUGGCUGCCCGCGUGCGUCGCGGCCCACGGCUUACGCAUCCAUGACUACUUAUAUUUCCAAGUGCUGAGUCCUGGGGACAUUCGCUAUAUCUUCACAGCCACGCCUGCCAAGGACUUUGGUGGUAUAUUUCACACACGGUAUGAGCAGAUUCACCUUGUCCCUGCCGAACCUCCAGAGGCCUGUGGGGAACUCAGCAACGGCUUCUUCAUCCAGGACCAGAUUGCUCUGGUGGAAAGGGGGUCUUUAAGAAAUGUCUUGUCUACUUUCUGCUGUGUACUGAUGACCCUCAAUACAAGUUCUCUGUGGUCCUUCAUCCUCCCAAAGAGAGGAUGUAAGGGAGGGGCAGCUAGCCUUUCCUUUGGUCUCAUCACCAACCUCUUCCAGGGGCUGCUCCUUCCUCUCCAAGACCAGGGUGGUUCAGGAGCAUGGUGGGCGGGCUGUGAUCAUCUCGGACAAUGCAGUUGACAAUGACAGUUUCUACGUGGAGAUGAUCCAGGAUAGUACUCAACGCACAGCUGACAUUCCUGCCCUCUUCCUGCUCGGCCGAGAUGGCUACAUGAUCCGCCGCUCUCUGGAACAGCAUGGGCUGCCAUGGGCCAUCAUCUCUAUCCCAGUCAAUGUCACGAGUAUCCCCACUUUUGAGCUGCUGCAACCUCCCUGGACUUUCUGGUAGAAAAGCUUACCCCAGGUACCAGCCACAGGUGACUCACUGGGAAGAAAAAAACUAAGAUUCUGCCGUUUGGAGUUUGGAGAUAGACUCUGAGGACAAGUAGAGCCAGGGAUGGGACAGGGAAGCCACACUAGUGGCUUUCCCUUCCUUAGGGCCUGCAAGAACAUCUCAUGCUCCAGUAAGAGCCAAGAACCAGGCCCAAGGCGUCUGGGCAGAAUUUGGAACAAAAGGUGCUGAAGGCAGGCGGCCUUGUCCUCGGCUACCUGUCAUACACCAGUUUUUCAGCCUCCUACAGCCAGGACUUCCUCACAGUGACUCUUGUAGCUCUUGCUGAAGUGGUUUAAGAAAUAGUUAUUCUGGGCCGAAGGAUUCUCUACUCUUUAGCAAUAAAGGUAAAUAAAG